rnacentral:rRNA from 1 species
UACGUAGGGUGCGAGCGUUAAUCGGAAUGACUGGGCGUAAAGCGUGCGCAGGCGGUUCUCCAAGUCCGUUGUGAAAGCCCCGGGCUCAACCUGGGAAUGGCAGUGGAAACUAGGGGACUGGAAUCUGGCAGAGGGGGGUGGAAUGCCGCGUGUAGCAGUGAAAUGCGUAGAGAUGCGGCGGAACACCGAUGGCGAAGGCAGCCCCCUGGGCUGAGAUUGACGCUCAGGCACGAAAGCGUGGGGAGCAAACAGG